rnacentral:rRNA from 1 species
GACGAACGCUGGCGGCGUGCUUAACACAUGCAAGUCGAACGGAAAGGCCCUGCUUUUGUGGGGUGCUCGAGUGGCGAACGGGUGAGUAACACGUGAGUAACCUGCCCUUGACUUUGGGAUAACUUCAGGAAACUGGGGCUAAUACCGGAUAGGAGCUCCUGCUGCAUGGUGGGGGUUGGAAAGUUUCGGCGGUUGGGGAUGGAUUCGCGGCUUAUCAGCUUGUUGGUGGGGUAGUGGUUUACCAAGGCUUUGACGGGUAGCCGGCCUGAGAGGGUGACCGGCCACAUUGGGACUGAGAUACGGCCCAGUCUCCUACGGGAGGCAGCAGUGGGGAAUAUUGCGCAAUGGGCGGAAGCGUGAUGCAGCAACGCCGCGUGCGGGAUGACGUCCUUCGGGUUGUAAACCGCUUUCGCCUGUGACGAAGCGUGAGUGACGGUAAUGGGUAAAGAAGCACCGGCUAACUACGUG